UAUAAAUCAAAUAUAUUAAAUAAUAUUUUAUUGUAAAUUAGUAUUUGGAUAAUAUAUUACCUAAAGUCUAAAGUACGUAUAUUUUAAAACAACAUAAUAGCUUCUUCAAAAAGAGAAAAAGAAUGCAAGCCCAUUUUCUAAGUGUUCAAAAUCAAACAACACUAAAAGAACCAGUCAGAAUGAGCUGGCCCUUCUCUAAAAGCCAUGGAACAUAAAUUACUUUAACAUAUUGUGCAAAGGCAUUGUCCUGCACUAGCUCCCAUAGUCUACCUUAGAGAGAAGCUUCUGCUCAGUCAUACAUUACAGAAGAAGAAGUGUUCCAUAGCUGCUGGUUGUUAGCAGUUUAUUGUGCACUGAGAAGAACGCUGGGAGCGGCUCGGACAGUCCCUCAGCAGUCCCGGCGAAGUUACGGGAAGGGCCUCUGGGAUAGCUGUUUACUGCGCACAGGAUGAAUAAAUCAAGAUAAGAAAGCCAAGGCCCAGAGAAAUUAAGUGAUUUCUCUAGGAUUCACAGGCAGGGGCUGGCCCCGUGGCCGAGUGGUUAAGUUCGCGCGCUCCGCUGCAGGCGGCCCAGUGUUUCGUUGGUUCGAAUCCUGGGCGCGGACAUGGCACUGCUCAUCAGACCACGCUGAGGCAGCGUCCCACAUGCCACAACUAGAAGAACCCACAACGAAGAAUAUACAACUAUGUACCGGGGGGCUUUGGGGAGAAAAAGG
rnacentral:lncRNA from 1 species